GCCUCUACUUACACGGAGAAAACGAAGUACUCAAAAAUAAGUAUUUUUAUACUCAAAAUUAAGUAAAGACUGUGGAUCUGAAGAUAUGGGUUAUUUACAUUCUGCCAAAUACGUAAAUUCAACCCAAAAUUUGAGUUGUUUAACAAAAACUCAAAUUUGAGUAAAAUAAUACUUGUACAAUUUAUUGCGCCCUACUGACGUUCUGUCAUAUUAUAAAAUAUGAUGAUAAAUUAUUUUGUUUACACAUAUUAUUUACUGCUGGUAUACCCUAAUAUAAAAUCACUCCAAAAUUACAUCUAACCAGUUAAUCACACAAUAAUGUAAAGCGAUCAUUAAUUUGUCAAACACUUAAAAAACACAAAGUUGAGUAGAUAUAACUCAUCAUGAGGCAUUCAGAUUGCGUACUAGCCUUUGAGUAGUUUAUACUCAAUUUUGGAUGAAAAAAUACGUCUGCCAUUUUGAAAUGUCAAAGCUGAACAUUUCAAAUCUGUCAUCGUCGGAGUCAGACGCAUUAGCCGAAAAAUCGUAAUUUUCCUUACAAAAAAUCCCAAAAUUUUUUGAGAACAUUAUGUGUGCUUUAGUAUUUAUGUUCCUGACGUCGUUUUACACAAAAUUCCAGCAGCUGGCCAGCAAAUGUUCAGGAAAAAGGAAAUCCAAUCAUCCUGGGUCAACGAUUCUCGGAAUGAUGAAGUUCCAGUUGCCGGUAAAUUCUGCUUGCCGUUCCUGUCAACCACCAUGCACGAUUUCCGGAACCUAAAAGCUGAUUACUGCCGUUGCUGCCGUUCCAGCCACCCAUCCGGUUCGUGCUCCCGGAGAUCGGAACAGACAGAAUGAUUGGUGUAAAUGUGAUGAAGUGAAUUAAAUAAAAUGUGAUAAUAAUUUCGUAAGAUAAAAUAGAAUAAAUGAUUGAAUUCUG